AUUCAGCCAGGAUGGGCGGAGGUGCAUCGUCGGUUUGCAUCCCGACGGACCUCUUCCAAGGCCGGGCCGGCGGCACGGUCUCCGUCCAGCCUGACGCAUUUCCUCCCGCACUGCGGACGCCGCAACCGGUCGGGUAGCUGCGAGAGUCGGCCAGGAGGGUGAGCAACGGCAGGUGGCCGGGGGCGUCGCUUCGGCGUCUGUCUCCGGUUGUUAGCCAGUUCUCCCGUGGCGCGACACCCGACCGAGGUUCCUCGCCCGAGUUCUUCUCGGGCAACCCGCCGUCCCCUUCAUCUGGAAGCGGGCUUUCCGGCAGGCGUGUCUCGGCGUUGCCACGUCACUCCUCGUAGUGGCCGGCGCGACGGGAUCGCCGUUGGUCGUUUCUGUCCCGCGGGGGCGUUCUCGGGGUUGGCGGCGAGUAGGUCGGUCACCCACCCGACCCGUCUUGAAACACGGACCAAGGAGUCUAACAUGUGCGCGAGUCACGGGGUCUUGACUAGGCCCAGAGGCGCAAUGAAAGUGAAGGCCGUCUUCGCGCGGCUGUGUUGGGAUCCCGCGCAAGCGGGAGCACCAACGACCCGUCCUAUCCGAUUUAUCGGUUGGGCGGAGUCCGAGCGUACACGUUGGGACCCGAAAGAUGGUGAACUAUGCCUGGGCAGGACGAAGCCAGAGGAAACUCUGGUGGAGGUCCGUAGCGGUUCUGACGUGCAAAUCGAUCGUCAGACCCGGGUAUAGGGGC
rnacentral:rRNA from 1 species